UACGGAAGGGGCAAGCGUUGUUCGGAAUCAUUGGGCGUAAAGGGCGCGUAGGUGGUUUUGUGUGUCUACCGUGAAAGCAUACAGCUCAACUGUAUUUUGUCGGUAGAAACUGCAGGACUUGAGGCUGGGAGGGGCUGGUGGAAUUCCUGGUGUAGCGGUGAAAUGCGCAGAUAUCAGGAGGAACACCAAUGGCGAAGGCAGCUCGCUGGAACGGAACUGACGCUGAGGCGCGAAAGCGUGGGGAGCGAACAGG
rnacentral:rRNA from 1 species